rfam:Triticum urartu cultivar G1812 contig460471, whole genome shotgun sequence.
AAAGUACUCCCUUCGUCUGAAAAUACUUGUCGUAGAAAUAAUUAUAUCUAGAUUUAUUUUAGUUAUAGAUACAUUUAUUUUAUUCAUUUCUAAGACAAGUAUUUUCGGAUAAAGGGAGUAGCUA